GUAGUGGUGGUUCAGUGGUAGAAUUCUCCCCUUUUAUGUGGGAGACCUGGGUUCAAUUCCCAGCCAAUGCA
rnacentral:tRNA from 1 species